GUGGAAGAAGUGUUUUGUAGAACAAAUUUUCAUUAACCACUAAAUAUUUGUUCCAUAAUAUAUUUUCUCCAUAAUCCAUUUGUUCCAGAGGCGUCAUUUGCGAUACGUAGGGUAUACAUUUACGUACCUAAAAUUUCGUAUUAUAAUAUUUUUGGUCCACUAGGAAAAACCACACAAACAGAGCAAUUGUGCUCCAAAAAAAAAAAAAAUUCUAAAAACUAAAGAUAUAGCUUUUAAUAGUAAAUUCUAUACAUCGUUCAAUUGGUUGGAAUAUGCUCAUAGCAGUGUUAAAAAGGGGAUUUACCCCAAGGCACUAAAGCUUUUUAAAACCACGAAGAGCCCGGAUAAAUGAAUAACUUGAAAUUACAAUAUUAUGAAUUAUUAUCGUUAUUCUAUAGUAGGUAAUUUUGUAUAAUAACACUAUCACAUUAACUUACAUUUUAAACUUAGAUAUCUAUACAAUAUAAAAUCUAUAUCAGUGGCGGCUCGUGGUGUUAAAAGUAGGUGGUGCACAAAAUAAUAUUCAUCAAGCAUUAACUAUAAAGUAACAUAUUUUUCC